GACGAACGCUGGCGGCGUGCUUAACACAUGCAAGUCGAGCGGAGCGGCGAACGGGUGAGUAACGCGUGAGUAACUGCCCCCCUCUCUGGGAUAACAGUUGGAAACGGCUGCUAAUACCGGAUAGUGGGGGAUGACUCGCGUCCUGUCAGCUUGUUGGUGGGGUAGUGGCCUACCAAGGCGACGAGGGGUACCCGGCCUGAGAGGGCGAGCGGCCACAAUAGUAUUGGAUACGGCGCGAACUCCUGUGGGAAGGAGCAGAGGGGAAUAGUGCACAACGGGGGCAACCCGGGUGCUGCAACGCCACGAGCGGCAUGACGGCCUUCGGGUUGUAAACCGCUUUCAGCCAUGACGCGGUAGUGGCAGAAGAAGCACCGGCUAACUACGGGCCAGAAGCCGCGAUAAUUC
rnacentral:rRNA from 1 species